CGGAGUUGCAGUUUGUCCGCAGUGCGGAGGCUCCUUUAAUCCCGCCGGCUCCGAGGCUGCCGGGGGUCACGGCCCAGCUGCUCGGCAGGAAGGACAAAGGGCAAGCAAGCAGGAAGACAGAGCCUGCGCAGCGAGAGCAGGACUGCACGUUUCCUCUCCCAUGAGGCCUUGGGUGAUGUGGAGUUCUGAGAGAGCCCCGGUUCCUGCUCUGUAAAUUCAGAGAUCCUGCCUGCCCAGCAGGAGAGGGGAUGGAAUGAAGCGGCACUGUGGAUGGCUGGCAGUGGGGGGAGACACCCGGUGGCUGUCCUCCCUUCCUUUAUGCUUGUUCAAAUCACCCUUUUCCCAGAAAACAGGAACAGUACUUCCAUCACAUUUUUGUAGUAAUUCCUCUGUGUAAGUGUGAACAAAUGUUUAUAGAAUGAUCAUAUAUUUUACACCAUUAAUAAGUACUUGUAACUACUCCAUAACAUUUUGGAAAACAGAACCAGAAAAAAAAUCAUUCACCCACAAUCUAAAUAAAAACACAUAAACCACUUGA